rnacentral:rRNA from 1 species
AUUGAACGCUGGCGGCAGGCCUAACACAUGCAAGUCGAGCGAGCGGCGGACGGGUGCGUAAUGUCUGGGAAACUGCCUGAUGGAGGGGGAUAACUAAUGGAAACGGUAGCUAAUACCGCAUACCAUCAGAUGUGCCCCGGUUGGCUUAGCUGGUAGGUGGGGUAACGGCUCACCUAGGCGACGCUCCCUAGCUGGUCUGAGAGGAUGAUCAGCCACACUGGAACUGAGACACGGUCCAGACUCCUACGGGAGGCAGCAGUGGGGAAUAUUGCACAAUGGGCGCAAGCCUGAUGCAGCAAUGCCGCGUGUGUGAAGAAGGCCUUCGGGUUGUAAAGCACUUUCAGCGGGGAGGCGUUACCCGCAGAAGAAGCACCGGCUAACUCCGUGCCAGCAGCCGCGGUAAUAC